rnacentral:piRNA from 1 species
UAUAAAUCUCACCUUGCCCACUCAUUUUUGG